CGGCUCUCGCAUCGAUGAAGAACGUAGCGAAAUGCGAUACUUGGUGUGAAUUGCAGAAUCCCGUGAACCAUCGAGUCUUUGAACGCAAGUUGCGCCCGAAGCCAUUUGGCCGAGGGCACGUCUGCCUGGGCGUCACGCAUCACUUCGCCCCCCCUCCCCCAACAUC
rnacentral:rRNA from 1 species